GGCCUUUAUAGCUUGUUGGUGAGGUAAUGGCUCACCAAGGCGUCGACGGGUAGCCGGCCUGAGAGGGUGACCGGCCACACUGGGACUGAGACACGGCCCAGACUCCUACGGGAGGCAGCAGUGGGGAAUAUUGCACAAUGGGCGAAAGCCUGAUGCAGCAACGCCGCGUGAGGGAUGACGGCCUUCGGGUUGUAAACCUCUUUUAGCAGGGAAGAAGCGAAAGUGACGGUACCUGCAGAAAAAGCGCCGGCUAACUACGUGCCAGCAGCCGCGGUAAUACGUAGGGCGCAAGCGUUAUCCGGAAUUAUUGGGCGUAAAGAGCUCGUAGGCGGUUUGUCGCGUCUGCUGUGAAAUCCCGAGGCUCAACCUCGGGCCUGCAGUGGGUACGGGCAGACUAGAGUGCGGUAGGGGAGAUUGGAAUUCCUGGUGUAGCGGUGGAAUGCGCAGAUAUCAGGAGGAACACCGAUGGCGAAGGCAGAUCUCUGGGCCGUAACUGACGCUGAGGAGCGAAAGGGUGGGGAGCAAACAGGCUUAGAUACCCUGGUAGUCCACCCCGUAAACGUUGGGAACUAGUUGUGGGGUCCAUCCAC
rnacentral:rRNA from 1 species